rnacentral:rRNA from 1 species
UACCGCCGCCCCUGGAACGAGCGCCGUACCCACCGGGCGUCCGUACCGCCACUCGAAGAGUACCUGUCGCUGCCGCCGUGUUGCCGCAACCACUAGUCUAGACUGUACCUGCCGAGACCGACAGGGGAAGUAGCAGCCGUCCCAGUACCCAAGAACCCGCGCCGCGUCGCUCGUACACACCGCCGACAAGAAGUCUAGACGACCCUCAACGCGACCGGACGUGCCGUCUCCUACCACCGCCUUUUACUAGAGGUGUUUACAUUGUUACAGAUGAGUGGCGGGUCAAGAGUAGACGACUUCGAUCAUUUGAUCUCGAGUGUUCUUACGUCUUCGGUUCGCACCUGCUGGUCGGGGACGAGCCUGGGCACCUCUCCUCGCUCGUACACCGCCGCAACCUCCUCCGCUUCGCCGACGACGCCGACCGGCCCGGCGACCGCCGCCCGCCGUAGGAGGCCAGGCGCGACGUCGACCACAGGCACUACAAGCACCCGGUGGAGCCGCUCGAAUGGGAGCGGCCUCGGAGCGAGCGGUGGAGGGAGCGGUUGCACUGGCCGAAGUCGAACGACCACCCGUACAGCUCGCGGGACCUGUGCGAGACGCCCGUCCGCAAGCCGCGCGCCGUCAUGGUGGAGGAGCCGGAGAUGUUCGUUGCCCGCUACCACCACGACCGCGAGCGGACGCAGGGGUAGCGGGAGCAGACCCGGUUGUGGCGGGUCUAGGAGGACGAGGAGCCGGUCCUACGCCGGUAGCGACGGCUUCGGCCGCGGAUGCGCGCCACCGAGGAGGGCCGGGAACAGGGCAUGCAGGGAGAACACACAGUUUAGGCGAAGAACGUCUGCGUCUCGUAGCAGCACGGCCAGUACCAGUCGAGGCGGCAGUGCCGCGACUUGGUGUAGGAGCACACGACCCGCGACCACGUGUUCCACCCGUACCCCUCGUUUCCGCGGCGCGACCGGUCGUGGCAGAGGAUGAGGUGUUUGGACCGGUAUGACACGGACAUGUGCUCCGAGAGUCCGCGGACGUUCUCCUGCACCUGACCCAAGAGGUACCUCCGGAAGUUCCUCGACGCGGUCAAGCCGCUCGAGCGGCACGGAAGCCGGUACUACCAAACCACUCUGCUCAGAAGGACUAGAUCGAAGAGGUGCAUAACCGACGUACGUAGCAGGUCAGGUCUACGUCUCCGGUCCACAGAAGGAGGAAAAGGUUUCUUUUUCUAAGAGGUGUAUACGUAAAGAAAAACUCUUUACUUUUUAAUAAACAAAAACUGUACACGUCGAACCUUACCACCAGCAAACUUGACGAACACGACGACAGACCAGAAGACGGAUUAGGAUUCGAGCUUUGGAGCCAUAACAGCUAUACAGAAUUAUGCCCGCGAGAAUACAAGUGCCACGGUAGGCCAGAGACGCGUCGGUAGUCGUGUGCGCAAAGGUUGCUUGAACCACGACCAUCCGGAGUCCAUCGCUCCGACCGUUGAUCUCACCAGUAUACGUACCGGUACAAACGUCCGAGUCACUAGAGGUAGUGUUACUAAAACGAUGCGUUUAGAACCCCAAUGUACAUGUCGUUGCUCCUCCUUCAGCACUGUAUGUAACGGUCCUACUAUGGACAGGAACCGCAUAGAAAGAAGUAACUACCUUAGGUGUGAAGAGAAAGUCCACACGAUAUACCUACACCACUCGUCUUCUAACCACGUGCCCAGUUAGAGCGGCGUAAGAUGAACCGUCCGUAGGGGAACCGGCACAACGAACGUAAGCAGGACGUAAACUUACCUUACCCCGAAACCGAACCGUAGCAAACGCCGUCGGAGUGAUUCGAACACAACGAACACACCUAGCAUCAAAGAUAUUUGACCCUCUUACUCAGAUAAUUCCGUUUUCUGUACCACAAUCCUUGAAGAGAAGACCAACGUACUUCUUGUAAAGCCGCCUGGCCCUUGACUAAUCAUAACAAUAUAUACACAUCGAUCCGGCAAAACGGUAAGACUUUUUUAAUGUCCGUGUAUAUCCCUACAUAUGAUGUAUAGUAAGACGGCACUCGAUGUGUUUUUAUUUAGUAGUAAAAGAAGUACUAAAAAAACAUCUGUUGUAGUUUUACAUAAAGUA